rnacentral:rRNA from 1 species
CCUACGGGGGGCUGCAGUGGGGAAUAUUGGACAAUGGGGGGAACCCUGAUCCAGCCAUGCCGCGUGUGUGAAGAAGGCCCUCGGGUUGUAAAGCACUUUCAGUGAGGAAGAACGCCUGGUGGUUAAUACCCAUCAGGAAAGACAUCACUCACAGAAGAAGCACCGUCUAACUCCGUGCCAGCAGCCGCGGUAAUACGGAGGGUGCGAGCGUUAAUCGGAAUUACUGGGCGUAAAGCGCGCGUAGGUGGCUUGAUAAGCCGGUUGUGAAAGCCCCGGGCUCAACCUGGGAACGGCAUCCGGAACUGUCAAGCUAGAGUGCAGGAGAGGAAGGUAGAAUUACCGGUGUAGCGGUGAAAUGCGUAGAGAUCGGGAGGAAUACCAGUGGCGAAGGCGGCCUUCUGGACUGACACUGACACUGAGGUGCGAAAGCGUGGGUAGCAAACAGGAUUAGAUACCCUAGUAGUC